AUUGCUUCUAAGUCUUUUGGCUAAGAUCAAGUAUAGUUAUCUGUUCUUACUAGUUUAAUAUCUGAUAUGUCCUCUGAGGACAAUAUAUUAAAUGGAUUUGGGGGAGUUCCCACU
ensembl:snRNA U2 U2 spliceosomal RNA